rnacentral:sRNA from 1 species
UCUGCCCCAUGGGGAAGGAUGAGAAGCUUCGACUAAGGUUCGACUCGAGCGAAGCGAGAGAACGUUGCCGCAGGCAAUGGCCCGAAGGCGAGGCGCUUUAGCGCCGAGUAAUCCUUCCCCCACCACUG